rnacentral:rRNA from 1 species
UACGUAGGGGGCCAGCGUUGCUCAGAAUUACUGGGCGUAAAGGGUUCGUAGGUGGUGCGGCAAGUUGGGAGUGAAAUCUCUGGGCUUAACUCAGAGGCUGCUUUCAAAACUGCCGCGCUCGAGUGCGAGAGAGGUCAGUGGAAUUGCAGGUGUAGCGGUGAAAUGCGUAGAUAUCUGCAGGAACACCCGUGGCGAAGGCGGCUGACUGGAUCGCAACUGACACUGAGGAACGAAAGCUAGGGGAGCAAACAGG